rnacentral:rRNA from 1 species
GAUGAACGCUGGCGGCGUGCCUAAUACAUGCAAGUCGAGCGAACAGACGAUGCGCUUGCUCCUCUCACGUUAGCCGCACACGUGUGUAUCACGCGUGUAUCCCCUACCUAUAAGACUGGGAUCACUUCGAGAAACCGGCGAAAAUCCCGGAUAAUCUAUUGCACCGCGUGGGGCGUUAGUGAAAGUCGGUUUUGCUGGCACGUCUAGAUGGUUACGGGCCGCAUGGGAUAGUUGGUAGGGUAACGGCUUUCCAAGGGGAGGAUGCGUAUGCGACCGGAGGGGGGGAUAGGCCACACUGGAACGGAGACACGGUCCUGACGCCUAAGGGAGGCAGCAGUAGGGAAUCGUCCGCAAUGGGCGAAAGCCUGACGGAGCAACGCGGCGUGAGUGAUGAAGGUCUUCGGAUCGUAAAACUCUGUUAUGAGGGAAGAACAAAUGUGUAAGGAACCAUGCACGUCGUGACGGUACCUAAUCAGAAAGCCACGGCUAACUACGUG